rnacentral:rRNA from 1 species
CAGUCGCCGCGGUAAUACGAGGGAUCCUAGCGUUGUUCGGAAUCAUUGGGCGUAAAGGGUGUGUAGGCGGCCUUGUAAGUCAGUUGUGAAAGCCCCGGGCUCAACCCGGGAAGUGCUUCUGAUACUGCUUGGCUUGAGUAUUUGAUAGGUGAGUGGAAUUCCAGGUGUAGUGGUGAAAUACGUAGAUAUCUGGAGGAACACCGGCGGCGAAGGCGGCUCACUGGCCAUAUACUGACGCUGAAACACGAAAGCGUGGGUAGCAAACAGGAUUAGAUACCCCCGUAGUCCCUGUCUCUUAUAA